AUAAUUACAGCCCGAUACAGAGAGACCAAUGUCUUCUUCGUGAAAAUACAAAAAAAAAGAGUUCUCUUCAUCUUCUUCGAUUCUCAAGCUUUGAGUGCGCCGUUUCGUCUUUUGUUCUUAUCCUCCAAAUGGUUACGAGAUGCAUAGUUUCAACGGCAUUACGACCUACUUAACUCCUAAGACCCAAUUCAACCACGAUUACUUAUUCAAUGCAUUUGACCUCUAUUCAAGGCGGUGGAUCUCUAACUAUAAAAAGGUAAGCUUCCUCUCAUAAAUCUCAUCCUCACCGCAACCAAAUUGCCAAUCCUAGCCUCCCAAAUCGAAACCCUCAUCAGACGAUCAAUCUCCGGUUCUAUCUCACAUCGCUGUCCAAAUCCGACAUGGGCCAGACAGUUGUUUGCGGAGGAAGACUAUAAUGAUCAGAUAGGACCCUUGCUGUCAUGUCUCGAUUGCCUAGAGUUUGAGAUAUGCCUGAGCUUUGUCGUGGAUUCUGUCGUUGUCGUGUUACUGACGUUGUAGUCCUGACUCCUGAAUCAGCCUACAAACAAGAAACAAAGGAAGGGUAAUGACAACAUGGAUUCCAGCGGACUAACAGAAGAAGCCGUGGAGAAGCGGAGGCCAAAGACGCAAUUUGCGGCGAGUAAGUUGAAAGAUGAAAAAGUAAUCCUUUAGAAGAAUCAGUUUGAAAUGUAGUUGGUGAAGAAGAAAAGGAAGUUAUAUCGCUUGGUAAUGAUAGUGGUGGCUCUAACAAAGGCGUCUGCACAGGAAAUAAAUGGAGAUACUGCUGAUUUCUCUGAGAGGAUAAAGCUUUCUCUACGAUCCAAGUCGGAGGAUCACCUAUAAAGGGAAGGGUGGUAUUGGAAAAGUGUUUGUGGGAUGGCGUAUUAGUGGUGGUAAUGAACCUACUGCAGAAGCUAGCAUUUUGGAGUUAGUGUAACUCAUUCUGCGUUAAGAUCCUGUUAUUAGCAUGAUUAUGUAAACAUUGUCUCACAUGUCCAUUUUCCUUAAUAUAUGUGAAGUUUGAGCAUCGAAUCUCUCAUCUUUUUCACUAUGUUUGUAAAAUUGUUUUAGCCGGAUAUUUAGGUACUUAGUUAAGUUAAGAUGUGAAAUCAACAUUAUAUUUUGUUCUGAACAGCACCUUCGGUGGCAGUCAUGGAGUCCCUAUAGCUACUACAAAUUAAAGUUAACUCUUAUUUUGACAAUAUUCUUUGUUGUUUAUGUACACUCUUUACACUUUUUUCUUUGACAUAUUCAAAAUGAUCCUGUCACUCCGGUCACAUAGUUGGUCUACUCUUUUUAUAAGAAUCUGACUUUUUCAUUUGUUAUGUGUUUUGAUUUAUGUUAACUAUGAAUUUACACCCCAUAAACAUUUGAAACAGAAAUCAUACUCUAAUGCACCAGCUGAUGACAUUUAUUCGUUUUAGUGGUGUACGUAUUGUCAUGUAAUUUGGUGAGAUCUGGUCGUUUUUGUUUCCCUAGACGUGUUUAUUUUUUGGUUGCUUCCAGAUUCUUGCCAUGAUACUUGGUGCAAUACCUUUGACAAAAAAUUUGAUAUUUACAAACGUUGUAACUCUUUCCUUAUUAACAGAUAAAUGCAUGUUUCUUUUAGUUAGGCAGGUGCACUCACGCUGCAGAUCCAAAUCACAUCAUCCGUGCUGGGAGAGACCAGAGACCAUGAAAGAGAAGAGACCAAUUAAAAUUGUGCAGAUACUCCAGAGACUGAGGUUGCUGCAGAGACUGCUGCAUCCAUGGCUUCAAAGUAUUUGGUGUUCAAGGAUAUUUAUCCUCAUGAUUCAGUCACGUUUCUAAAAUAUGCGAAGCAUCUGUUCAGUUUUGCAGACACUUAGAGAGACUCUUACAGUAUACUAAUAAGUCUUACAAUUCAACAGGGUAUGGGAACGAGCUACUAUGGCAGCUUUGUCGCCACAGAAACUGAAGAUCAGUGUUGUUUUCUCCGGAGGUCAAGCACUUAUCACAUUGUCAAAUAUGGACUAUUCGAUCACUUGCAGCUAAAAGAAGUACAUUUUACGGAUUUAAUGAUGACCCAGAUGGGAUCAUGAAAUGCAUAUAGGUUAACUUGAAUGCAGAAUUCAUUCAGAUUUUAAGAAACCAUAUACUUGGACUAUAAUAAUAUAUGAAUAUUUUCUAAAAACUUUUUCAAAGAUUGAGAUUGUACAAAUUUUCAUCAUCAUUUAGAUCUUUGUGUUAUAGACAUUCCGGUAUUCAAGCAUGUGUAUAUAGCUGCACCUUAACUGUCGAAGCUUUAGCUACAA